AAAAUCAACUCAUUUUUCUCCACAACUACACACCUCUCACAUUUCUUCAUUUUUUUUUGUUACAAAAAAUAAAUAAAAUGAAAGAUCAAUUUCAUGAAUUAAACUUUAGGGAAUUUAUGGAUGAGUUAACAAAGCAAGAACAAAGUUUUUUUCAGAAAAAAGCAGCUGAGAAUAAUAAUGAGAAAUCAUAUGUUACUGAAAUUUUUGGUGAGCUUUAUUUUAAAGAAAAUAAUGGUGAGUACUCAUUCAUAAAAGACUUUUUUCCUCCAAUGCCAAAAAAAAGUUCUAGUGAAAAUAAUGCUAAUUAUAAAGCAUCUAUUUCUCAAGCUGAAUUUGAGAAAAUUAAUUUCAGUGAGAAGCUACCAAAUGGUGAUGAUAUUGUUGUCAAUUAUGUGAAUGAUGAGAUGCAAAAAGGUAAAGGAGGAAAAAAAAUCAAAUGAUGCUUAGAAGGAAGAUCUUAGCUAAUGUUAUUAAUGUGUUGCAUGUUUGUAUCUUGUCUUCAUUAAGUUAAAUAAACAUCAUCAAUAUCUUUUUAAUGCAUGUUUGUAACUUUGGCUUUAUUAAGUUAAAUAAACAUCAUCAAUAUUUUAUUGAUGUGUAUUGUUCAAUUA